CAAGCAAGCCAAGGACCAUAUGUUUUUUUGUGUUACACUUUCAGCAUCUAAGCUUAUUAUAUUCAACACAAGGAGAAAGUCCCCGGAAAACAAAAUAUCUUCUGUCCAAUGAUUAAAGAUUAGGGCAGUGGGGUAUUUAGUAAAGCAACUUUGUUUGUUUGUUUUUUCAUAAUAAAAGUAAUAUGGUCACCCUAUAAUAAUGGGGCAACUUAAUGGGGCUUACUCUGGCUUGUUG
rnacentral:RNase_MRP_RNA from 2 species